AGAACGAACGCUGGCGGCAUGCCUAACACAUGCAAGUCGAACGCUUCCGGGGCUUCGGUCGCGGAGGAGUGGCGCACGGGUGAGUAGCGCGUGGGAACCUGCCCUGUUGUGGGGGAUAACCGAGGGAAACUUCGGCUAAUACCGCAUACGCCCCGGGACUUGGUCUUCGGAUUAGGUCUGGGGGGAAAGAUUGAUCGCAGCAGGAGGGGCCCGCGUCGGAUUAGCUGGUUGGUGGGGUAACGGCUCACCAAGGCGAUGAUCCGUAGCUGGUCUGAGAGGAUGAUCAGCCACACUGGGACUGAGACACGGCCCAGACUCCUACGGGAGGCAGCAGUGGGGGAAUAUUGGACAAUGGGGGCAACCCUGAUCCAGCAAUGCCGCGUGAGUGAUGAAGGCCUUAGGGUUGUAAAGCUCUUUCGCCCGCGACGAUGAUGACGGUAGCGGGAGAAGAAGCCCCGGCUAACUUCGCGCCAGCAGCCGCGGU
rnacentral:rRNA from 1 species